AUUUCAAUUUGCGAGCCAGGUGCUCACGUUCGCGUGAGUGAAAAGGGAAUCCGGUGAGAAUCCGGAACAGUCCUCGCUGCGGUGAAGAACGACGUAGAAACAGUGGUGCUUUUGCACCAACCACUUGACGUAAGUCAGGGAAGGUGGUUUCUGCGGAUGACGUCUAAGUCCGAAGACCUGCCUAGCUCGAUGGCUGUAC
rnacentral:ncRNA from 2 species